CACCCGAAUGCCACUAGUUUCUUUGCCAGCCUCGCAAUUGCAAUGAAGUUGUUCGCGAUUCCAGCUUUAGUGCUGACCUCGCUUGUCGUCGGAGUCAUCUGCGAUACGCACUUAAAGGAGUGCGAUCAAAUAUGUGGCUCCGCUUAUAUACCCUACUGCGCUUUCAAAGGCUGCUACUUAACCGUAGACCACUGUGCGGUCAACCAAUUGAAUUGCGAGCGCAUUCAUAGUGGAAGAAUUCCUCUCCUUAUCGUGGCAAAGGGAAAAUGUGCGUCCACGAUGCUACCAAAAUGCACCAGCUUCGAAUACUAAGAGCGAGCAGACAAAUUGUUGUAAAAGUUGAAUAUUUAUUGCAAAUAAAAUACAGUGUGAUGUAUGCGGAGAGAAUUAAAAACUAAAA